AUGUUAGAACAUUUCUGUGAAUGCUAUUUCGAUCUAAGUGGUCCUAUUCUCUGUCCCGUGCUAGGAAGCAUUACUCCUCUUUUCAUUCCAAAUUCUUCAAUAAGACCGAUACGAUUGAUUGGUCUGUGCGUUUCUCUUAUUACUUUUUUGUACCCCCCUGUUCCUCGGAUACAAUUCGAUCUUUCUAUGGCCAAAUCUCAAUUUGUGGAAGGACUUCGAUGGCUUCCUUAUGAAAACAUCCAUUUGUAUAUGGGUAUAGACAGUCUUUCAUUAUUCUUCGUAAUAUUGACCACAUUUCUGAUACCUAUUUUCAUUUCAGUGGGUUGGUCUGGUAUGAGAUGUUUUGGGAAAGAGUAUAUUACAGCAUUUCUAAUUCGUGAAUUUCUAAUGAUCGCUGUGUCCUGCAUGCUGGAUCCUCUACUAUUCUAUGUUCUUUCCGAAAGCGUGCCAAUCCCUAUGUUGUGCGGAGCUGAGCAUCUUCUAUUCGCUGGGAUCAAGCUUUUCCUCUGCAGAGGCCUUCUGUAG
rnacentral:rRNA from 1 species